rnacentral:rRNA from 1 species
UACAGAGGGUGCGAGCGUUGUCCGGAAUCACUGGGCGUAAAGGGCGCGUAGGCGGUCUGGUAAGCGUGUGGUGAAAGCUCGGGGCUCAACCCCGAGUCGGCCGUGCGAACUGCGAGACUGGAGCAGAUCAGAGGCGAGUGGAAUUCCGGGUGUAGCGGUGGAAUGCGUAGAGAUCCGGAAGAACACCGGAGGCGAAGGCGGCUUGCUGGGCGUGAUCUGACGCUGAGGCGCGAAAGCGUGGGGAGCGAACAGG